rnacentral:rRNA from 1 species
AUGAACGCUAGCGACAGGCUUAACACAUGCAAGUCGAGGGGCAGCACAGGUAGCAAUACCGGGUGGCGACCGGCGCACGGGUGAGUAACGCGUAUGCAACUUGCCUAUCAGAGGGGGAUAACCCGGCGAAAGUCGGACUAAUACCGCAUGAAGCAGGGAUCCCGCAUGGGAAUAUUUGCUAAAGAUUCAUCGCUGAUAGAUAGGCAUGCGUUCCAUUAGGCAGUUGGCGGGGUAACGGCCCACCAAACCGACGAUGGAUAGGGGUUCUGAGAGGAAGGUCCCCCACAUUGGUACUGAGACACGGACCAAACUCCUAUGGGAGGCAGCAGUGAGGAAUAUUGGUCAAUGGCCGAGAGGCUGAACCAGCCAAGUCGCGUGAGGGAUGAAGGUUCUAUGGAUCGUAAACCUCUUUUAUAAGGGAAUAAAGUGCGGGACGUGUCCCGUUUUGUAUGUACCUUAUGAAUAAGGAUCGGCUAACUCCGUGCCAGCAGCCGCGGUAAGACGGAGGAUCCGAGCGUUAUCCGGAUUUAUUGGGUUUAAAGGGUGCGUAGGCGGCCUUUUAAGUCAGCGGUGAAAGUCUGUGGCUCAACCAUAGAAUUGCCGUUGAAACUGGGGGGCUUGAGUAUGUUUGAGGCAGGCGGAAUGCGUGGUGUAGCGGUGAAAUGCAUAGAUAUCACGCAGAACCCCGAUUGCGAAGGCAGCCUGCCAAGCCAUUACUGACGCUGAUGCACGAAAGCGUGGGGAUCAAACAGGAUUAGAUACCCUGGUAGUCCACGCAGUAAACGAUGAUCACUAGCUGUUUGCGAUACACUGUAAGCGGCACAGCGAAAGCGUUAAGUGAUCCACCUGGGGAGUACGCCGGCAACGGUGAAACUCAAAGGAAUUGACGGGGGCCCGCACAAGCGGAGGAACAUGUGGUUUAAUUCGAUGAUACGCGAGGAACCUUACCCGGGUUUGAACGCAUUCGGACCGAGGUGGAAACACCUUUUCUAGCAAUAGCCGUUUGCGAGGUGCUGCAUGGUUGUCGUCAGCUCGUGUCGUGAGAUGUUGGGUUAAGUCCCGCAACGAGCGCAACCCUUAUUGUUAGUUGCCAUCAUUCAGUUGGGCACUCUAGCAAGACUGCCGGUGACAAACCGGAGGAAGGUGGGGAUGACGUCAAAUCAGCACGGCCCUUACAUCCGGGGCGACACACGUGUUACAAUGGCGUGGACAAAGGGAGGCCACCUGGCGACAGGGAGCGAAUCCCCAAACCACGUCUCAGUUCGGAUCGGAGUCUGCAACCCGACUCCGUGAAGCUGGAUUCGCUAGUAAUCGCGCAUCAGCCAUGGCGCGGUGAAUACGUUCCCGGGCCUUGUACACACCGCCCGUCAAGCCAUGGGAGCCGGGGGUACCUGAAGUCCGUAACCGCGAGGAUCGGCCUAGGGUAAAACUGGUGACUGGGGCU